UGGAUCUGAGAAAUUCAGAGGCAGAUGAUAAUGGAGGCUAAAAGGCACAGUGAAGUAGGUAAUCAUGUCUUCAUACAUGAUUGAUGUCUACAUACAUGCCCUCAGAUGCAUCCUCCAAACUUGGAAGAGUUAAUUUCCCAAGCCUUAGACUGGUUGGCUUAACAUUGAACUCAGGGCAAAAGAACCCGGAAGCUUGACAUGCUGGCAAAAGGUCAAAAAUAUACUUUUCCAGUUGGGCUUUUGGCUUCCCUCUCCCUAUGCAAACUGAUAAAGGACAUAGGAAUUUUUUAGCUGUCCUUGACACCUUCCCCUUGUUUUGUUUUAAUACAUGUUUUUUAAUAACCCAGUUUGAUUCUUCUCACCUUCAGGCUACCAAACUUUAAACAGUCAUGCAACCAGAACUUUGAACAAUGGCCCCUUUCACUGGGGACACUUAGAUAGGCCUCUUAGGGAGAUCUAACUGUUGGUUUUCCAAAACAGUGACCCCUGUCAGCAGGAAGCACUUAAAAAUGGUUUUGUUCUCAUCCUUAUCCUUAUUCUAACUGCAGUUAGAUGUAUUUCUUUAGAGGGGGAAAUAACACAGUUAAAAAACAGCCAAGAGUCCUGGGUGAAACCCCACCUUCAAGCCUAAAACCUGCUGAAGGCUGAAAAAUCAGACUGCUGGUCCCAGAUGAGGCCUGCCUUUUUCCAACUGAUUAUCUCUGAAUAAUGUCCACUUGCACACUGGGGGAAGGGACUGGAGCCAUGGGAAGUUCACCCCUUGUGCAGGGAGGAGGAAUCUGGCCACUUCAGUUCUUGUAUGAUGGUCUGGUGUUCAGCAAUCUGGGAGGGGGCCUGUAAACAAAUUUUUUCUUUACUUCUUUUUUUUCUUUUUACCCAAUCAACUUUACUUUUCAUCCUUCAGAGUGUCCCUGACCUAAUCUUUCCUUGUCAUGUGACAAGAACCCAAUUUUGCUAAAGUUCUGCAACAUAAGGAUUUGGAACCCUCGUUUAGAAUAAGCUGAGGAUAUGCAUGUAGGUGUCUUUCUGGCUUCGCUUAUCUGUUUCAACAUGUAUUUUUCUGUCUGUAUGCCAGCACCACACUGUUUUGAUUACUGUAACUUUGCAAUAUGUUUUGAAAUAAAAAAGAAUGAUGCCCGA
rnacentral:lncRNA from 1 species